rnacentral:rRNA from 1 species
AAAACGGUCGCUAAUACCGCACGGUUCUGCUCUGAUGGGAAUGGAGCAGAUAAAGAUUUAUCGCUUUGAGAGGGGCCCGCGGCCGAUUAGCUAGUUGGUAAGGUAAAGGCUUACCAAGGCGAUUAUCGGUAGCUGGUCUGAGAGGACGAUCAGCCACACGGGAACUGAGACACGGUCCCGACUCCUACGGGGGGCAGCAGUGAGGAAUAUUGGGCAAUGGGCGAAAGCCUGACCCAGCAACGCCGCGUGGAGGAUGAAGGCUUUAGGGUUGUAAACUCCUUUUGUGGGGGAAAAGAAUGGAUGGUACCCCAAGAAUAAGUCACGGCUAACUACGUGCCAGCAGCCGCGGUAAUACGUAGGUGACAAGCGUUAUCCGGAAUUACUGGGCGUAAAGCGCACGCAGGCGGUCAGAUAAGUCUGAUGUGAAACCUUCUGGCUUAACCAGAAGACGUCGU